CGAGCGGCGGGUGAGUAAUACUUAGGAAUCUACCUAGUAGUGGGGGAUAGCACGGGGAAACUCGUAUUAAUACCGCAUACGUCCUACGGGAGAAAGGGGGCAACUUGUUGCUCUCGCUAUUAGAUGAGCCUAAGUCGGAUUAGCUAGAUGGUGGGGUAAAGGCCUACCAUGGCGACGAUCUGUAGCUGGUCUGAGAGGAUGAUCAGCCACACCGGGACUGAGACACGGCCCGGACUCCUACGGGAGGCAGCAGUGGGGAAUAUUGGACAAUGGGGGAAACCCUGAUCCAGCCAUGCCGCGUGUGUGAAGAAGGCCUUUUGGUUGUAAAGCACUUUAAGCAGUGAAGAAGACUCCUCGGUUAAUACCCGUGGACGAUGACAUUAGCUGCAGAAUAAGCACCGGCUAACUCUGUGCCAGCAGCCGCGGUAAUACAGAGGGUGCAAGCGUUAAUCGGAAUUACUGGGCGUAAAGCGAGCGUAGGUGGCUUGAUAAGUCAGAUGUGAAAUCCCCGGGCUUAACCUGGGAACUGCAUCUGAAACUGUCAGACUAGAGUAGGUGAGAGGGAGGUAGAAUUUCAGGUGUAGCGGUGAAAUGCGUAGAGAUCUGAAGGAAUACCGAUGGCGAAAGCCUCCUGGCAUCAUACUGACACUGUCGAAAGCGUGGGUAGCAAACAGAUUAGAUACCCUGGUAGUCCACGCC
rnacentral:rRNA from 1 species